rnacentral:rRNA from 1 species
UACGGAGGGGCAAGCGUUAUUCGGAAUCAUUGGGCGUAAAGGGCGCGUAGGCGGCUUGGCGAGUCAAAGGUGAAAUCCCUCGGCCCAACCGAGGAACUGCCUUUGAUACUGCCUAGCUCGAGGCCGGGAGAGGGUAGCGGAAUUCCCAGUGGUAAGCGGUGAAAUGCGUAGAUAUUGGGAGGAACACCAGUGGCGAAGGCGGCUACCUGGACCGGUUCUGACGCUGAUG